rnacentral:precursor_RNA from 13 species
AAUGCAGCUGACCUACUGCACGGUGUGAGCUGGUCACCUGACUUGCAGUGUGGUGAUAGUGGAACACACUGCAUACCCUGUGACCUCCCUACACAGUGCUGUGUUCUUCUGUCUGGAG